CAGCAGCCGCGGUAAUACGAGGGGGGCAAGCGUUGUUCGGAAUUAUUGGGCGUAAAGGGCGCGUAGGCGGUUUGGCAAGUUUGGUGUGAAAUCUUCGGGCUCAACUCGAAGUCUGCACCGAAAACUGCCGGGCUUGAGUAUGGGAGAGGUGAGUGGAAUUUCCGGUGUAGCGGUGAAAUGCGUAGAUAUCGGAAGGAACACCUGUGGCGAAAGCGGCUCACUGGACCAUUACUGACGCUGAGGCGCGAAAGCUAGGGGAGCAAACAGGAUUAGAUACCCGCGUAGUCCCUGUCUCUUAUAC
rnacentral:rRNA from 1 species